rnacentral:rRNA from 1 species
UACGAAGGGGGCGAGCGUUGUUCGGAAUUACUGGGCGUAAAGGGCGCGUAGGCGGCCAUCUAAGUCAGACGUGAAAUCCCCCGGCUUAACCUGGGAACUGCGUCUGAUACUGGAAGGCUCGAGUUUGGGAGAGGGAUGUGGAAUUCCAGGUGUAGCGGUGAAAUGCGUAGAUAUCUGGAGGAACACCGGUGGCGAAGGCGGCAUCCUGGACCAACACUGACGCUGAGGCGCGAAAGCUAGGGGAGCAAACGGG